CGUGCUCCUUGUGUUAAGGUGCAUCUAGUGCAGUUAGUGACGUAGCGUAGAAUCUACUGCCCUAAAUGCUCCUUCUGGCACAAG
rnacentral:miRNA from 12 species